rnacentral:rRNA from 1 species
AGAAUUUUAGAAUUUG